CCCUUUCAUUCCUUCCCUCUUUUCUUCUUCUCUCUGCCUCUACGCAGCGACUGUACGUGUCCAACAGCUCUGCAAGUAGUUGUAGGUCAUCUCUCUGGGCAGGGCGAAUAAAAAAGAUGGCGAGACCUGCUGCCGAUGCCCACAGCAACAGAGCGGCUGUUCAAGCAACAAACGACGACGCUUCCGCCAGUAAAUUGUCCUGUGUUAAAAAGGGAUACGUGAAAGAUGACUACAUCCAUCUGUUUGUUAAAAGGCCUGUGAGGAGAUCUCCCAUUAUUAACCGUGGUUAUUUUGCUCGUUGGGCUGCUCUCCGGAAGCUUCUCUUUCAGUUCCUCGAUUGUGGAAGAAAUUCCGAUGAAAAUGGGCGCACGAAGAAGCAGAUACUGUCACUUGGAGCUGGCUUUGAUACAACGUAUUUUCAGUUGAAGGAUGAGGGGAAAGCACCAUACUUAUACGUGGAACUUGAUUUUAAGGAGGUAACCAGUAAGAAGGCAGCACUAAUUGAAACCUGCCAGCAGUUGAGGGAUAAAGUAGGUGCAACAGCUUCAAUCUCUUGGGAGAAAGGUGAAGUGCUUAGUGAUCAAUACAAGCUUCUACCAGUUGAUCUUCGUGAUAUGGAAACAUUAAAUGAUGUCAUAUCUCUGGCAAACAUGGAUCCCGGUAUGCCAACAUUUAUAAUUGCAGAAUGCGUUUUGAUAUACCUGGAUCCUGACUCUAGCCGUAAUAUAGUUGGUUGGGCAUCAAAAACUUUUUCGACGGCAGUAUUUUUCUUAUAUGAGCAGAUCCACCCUGAUGAUGCUUUUGGCCAGCAAAUGAUCAGAAAUUUGGAGAGUCGAGGCUGUGCUCUCUUGAGUAUUUAUGCUACACCAACUUUGCUUGCAAAGGAGAAACUAUUUCUUGAACAGGGAUGGCAGAGGGCUGUUGCUUGGGACAUGUUGAGCGUUUAUGGUAAUUUUGUUGAAGCUGAAGAAAGGCGUAGGAUUGAACGAUUGGAAUUGUUUGAUGAAUUUGAGGAGUGGCACAUGAUGCAGGUGCUAGACCUAGAGGCUGGCUCACCGCUUGCCAUAUGGACCUGCAUGGGUCAUAUCGUGCAUACUCUGUUCUGAUACUGCUUAAGUGGGCAAAAUAAUUUGAUGUUAUCAUCCUCAUUAGUACAAAGAAUAAUUUUGUUCCAAUCGGCUGAUUUUCAGGAGCACUACUGCAUUGCUUAUGCAAUCAAUGACACUAUGGGGCUGUUUAGGGAUUUUGGCUUUCCUAACAAUGAGCAGGACGUGUUGAAUAAAACUUGAGUUAACUCAUCUUGAGACGGCGAGGGGAGCUACUAGAAAGAAGAUCACCAAGCUGCCCUACUUGCCAUGUUUGGUCAUUGAACAAUGAAUGAACGAGCAGAGUACCAGUUAAUGAAGGGUGCAGUUGUCAGGUGGAGAAUGGAGGAUGAUAUAUAACUGGUUCUGUAUGCAAUUUCUAUAUUUUCCGUUUGACUCCAAGAAUUUAGAUACCUUCAUUUAAUUUGCUAGCAGUUUGCGGAAGUAAAACGAGAUGGGACCCACUGACACCGGUCCAAAAGUGUGUGUUAUACUUCAUAUUUUCUCUUUUGUAUAUUGUCAAAUUUA